rnacentral:tRNA from 1 species
CGCUCGAUCGAUCGGGGCCGGAUCGGCCGGCCUGGGGGGCCGGUUGCCUGGUUCUGGUUCGGUUGGUCGUC